UUAAUGUGUCUUGUAAUAAUAACAUUGUUAAAGAAAGGUCAAGGAAAUUUCAAAGUGGAUAAACUGAGGAAGAACAGAAUCUGUUAGAGAGAAUCUAUAUCUAGCGACCAUCGUCUCUACCACAUAUACAAGAGGACAAACACACACAAGACUAUCAAUCUCCUGUCUUUGUCCGCAUGUCGUCAAUGGCUUCUCUGAAGCUUUCACCUUCUUCGCCAAUCUCCAUCCCUAAGAGAAGCGGGUAUGUUGUUAGGAGAGGAGUAUCAUUUAUUGUUCGGUCUGAGCAAUCUCCGUCUUCCUCCUCUGAUCUUCAGGGUCUGUGUUUUCUUUACAUUUCUUGUUUGCAUUUUGAAUGUAAUUGACGAAAAGAUAAACCGUUUACAUAGUUCUUGUAUUUUUGUUUGUUCAAGAUAAAUGUGAUAGGAGGCGUCUGGUGGUAACAUUAGGUGUUGUGGCUCCUUGGAUCUCAUUGCUUUGUAAAGCUCCAGUAUCAUAAAGCAAAAAAGGAUUCAUGACUGUCUCUGACAAUAAGGACGCUUAUUCAUUUCUCUAUCCCUUUGGCUGGCAGGUUGAAAAAGCCAAUUUUCUCUGAAUGUAUUCACUUAUUAUUACACAAACACCACACACAAAGCUUUUUAACUUGUCAAAGAGAAGAAAAAAUCGGCAGACCAGACAACGUAGCACCAGCGUCAACAAUGUAAACAUUCCCAGAGACAUACCUGGAAGAGUCAUGAAUCAGAUACCUAACCAGCGAGGUAAGCCCCGGGUCCACACUCUGCUGCACCUUCAACGGAACAAUCCUCUCCCUCACAUUCUUCAUCCACUCUUUCCUCAUCAGACCUUCCGUGAUCUCCGACUUAAACAGCCCCGGGGCUAUCGAGUUCACUCUUAUACCAUACUCACCCAGCUCAACCGCCAUCAUCUUCGUCAUAAUAUCAAGACCUCCUUUCGAACACGCGUACGCCAACCCGCCGGGUAGCUUCCCGCGCUGAAGCCCCGCGAUGGAGGAAACGUUUAUCACCGAUCCUCCGCCGCGGCGUUUGGCGUCGCGCAUCAGAACGCAGACGUGUUUUGAUACUAGCCAAGGUCCGGUUAGGUUUGUUCUGAAGACUCUUUCCCAUUCUUCUUCGGAUAGGUCCAGACUCGACUUGACGCUGCCUCUGAUGCCUGCGUUGUUGAUCAAGACGUCGAUGUUUCCGAAGAUGUCCCAAGCUUGUUUGACUGCGUUUUGGAUGGUGGAUGAGUCUGAGGAGACGUCUAGCUCGAGAGGUGCGGCUUGUUUGGUUUUUGUUGGGGAGAAUAAGGCGUUGAUCUCGGAGCAGAGGGAUUGGAGACGGUCAAGACGGCGAGCUGCUGCGAUGAUCUUGCAGCCGGAUUUGGCUAGAUCGAGGCAGAUCUCUCUUCCUAUGCCGGAAGAAGCUCCUGUUAGAAGAACCACUUUGUCUUUGAGCUCACACCAUGGCUCUAGUUGCUUCAUCACCUGCUUUUUGGAUCAAUAAAGACAGAAACAUUUGAAUGGUAAUGGUGUUACAAAGAUAAGAGAUCUCAUCAACGUUGUAUCUUACAGUCUGAUGAUUGCUGCUCAUAGUGUUUCUCAGUGUGAAGCUGUCUCUUUCUCUGAA